CCCUGCGCGAAUCUGCACAGACUCCUUUCUCCAGCCAAUGCUCACUUCUGAGUGAGUAUAACGAUCCGAGUAUACCGAUACCGAUCCGAGUAUACCGAUACCAAUUCGAAAAAUCGCAUUUGUUGUGAGCCGUGCCCGGGUUUACACGGGUUGCAGGCACCUAGGCAUGCCCCUUUCUAGUGAGUAUGCCGAGAGAGGAAGUCCCUGUGGUGAGCCGCGCCUGGUCUGCCAGGGCGUCGGGUUUUGGGUUCGUUUUCCGUGGACUAUACCGAUACCGAUCCGAAAAAUCGUAUUUGUUGUGAGCCGGCCCCGGUGCUGCCAGAGCUGCGGGCACCGGCGCAUGCUCCCUUCCGAGUGAGUAUGCUGAGAGAGGAAGUCUCUGUGGUGAGCCGCGCCCGGAUUAGCCCGGGUGGAGGGCACUGGUGCAUGUAACACUCUGCUCAGUAUGCCAAAAAUGAAGUCUCCGUGCUGAGCCGCGCUCGAAUAUAUCCAGGCUCCUUUCUCCAGCCAAUGCUUCCUUGGGGUGAAUAUAAUGAUCCGGGAAGCUCCAUGGUGAGCCGUUCCCAGGUCUGCCAGGGCGCCGGGCUUUGGGCUCGCUUUCCUUGAGUAUACCGAUACCGAUCUGAAAAAUCGUAUUUGUUGUGACCGGCCCCGGUGUUGUCCGGGCUGCGAGCACCGGCGCCUGCUCCGUUCAGAGUGAGAAUGCCCAGAGAGGAAGUCUCGGAGGUGAGCCCUGCGCGAAUCUGCACAGACUCCUUUCUCCAGCCAAUGCUCACUUCUGAGUGAGUAUAACGAUCCGAGUAUACCGAUACCGAUCUGAAAAAUCGUAUUUGUUGUGAGCCGUGCCCGGGUUUACACGGGUUGCAGGCACCUAGGCAUGACCCUUUCUAGUGAGUAUGCAGAGAUAGGAAGUCUCUGUGGUGAGCUGUGCCCGGGUCAGCCCGGGUAGCGGGCACUGGUGGAUGCACCCUUCUGCUGAGAUGCGAAAAAUGAAGUCUCCGUGCUGAGCCUCGCGCGAAUAUAUCCAGGCUCCUUUCUCCAGCCAAUGCUUCCUUGAGGUGAGUA